rnacentral:tRNA from 1 species
GGCCGGGUAGCUCAGUUGGUAGAGCAGAGGACUGAAAAUCCUUGUGUCGUCGGUUCGAUUCCGACCUUGGCCACCA